UCCCGCUCUGAGAGGGGCGGCUACGGAAGCCCCCGAGGGCCGAAAAAGGCAGAGCUGCUUCUGUUUCCCCUCCGCGGCCAGCCAUGGCGAAGAAGCGGCUGCCCAAGCCUUUGUUGUUCGGGAGCAUCUUAUGUGCCCUGGCCACUGCCUUCAUGUUCAGACGGAGUUUUUUCCCUGAGAUAGAGGAGCUUCGUUCCCAAGAGUACCAGUAUUAUGAGGAGAAGCGCCAGGAGGUCCUGCAGAGGCGCCAGCAACAACUGGCUGAACUGCCAAAGAAGAGAAGUGCAUCCUAGCUUACCUUUGUCCUUAAAGGAAGGCUGCCUAGAUAGAGUGAAUGGCUUUUGUCAUUACUCCUGGUACCUGGGAGUUUUGGCCUUCACUGCUCCUAUGAUUCAGCAGGACACAUCCUAAUGAACAAGAUAUUUUCUUGGGGAAAGUGAUUUGUCUGGAAGGACAUGAAUUUUGGAGUGUGUCUCAAAAUACCAACUUUAGAUUGUCAAGUGUUCGCUAUUCUAUAUAAUUCAUAUGAAGGACUGAUUGUGUUUUUCUUCAUUAAUAGAGACAGGAGGACAGAUAUGUUAAUGUACUCACUGCUUUGAGUUUUAGAAUCAAGAAAUUCUGAUUCUUGUACAUGUAUUUUUAAUCACUGAAACCUAAUUGCUCACGCAAAUUAAUUACUGUAUUUCAUUGAUUGUGAAGUGAAUUUUUCCCAUAUAAUGGUCUUCAAAAACAUUGUGUGUGUCUUAUAAUCGCAGGUGCAGCUUACAAUCACGUUUAAUUUUUUUUUACUGCACUUUGUUGUUUUACUGCACUUUGUUUUAUUUUUAGGCAGGAAACCCACCUUAGGCAGAAAAGCCACCUCCAAAUUUCUGCUCUCACCAGCCCAUUUUGGACAAAGUGACACUCUUUGCAAGUAUGCAGCCACCAAACUGGAAAUGCUGAUGAAACUUCAGUUUUGUUUGAUAUCCCUCAAAAUUACACCAUCAAUGCAAAAGGUGCUAAAGAUGUCGCCAUUAUAAGCCCUGGCUAUGAAAAGCACCGUAUCACUGUGAUGCUGUGUAUCACUGCCGAUGGUCGAAAGUUGCCACCAUACUUAAUUUUAAAUCAGAAAAUCAUACCAAAGAAUGAACUUUCCCCCAAAGAUGUUAUUGUACGUUCACAGAGAAAUGGCUGGAUGACAGCAGAGCUUAUAAAAGACUAGCUAAGUGUUCUGUGGGAGCGGCGUCCUGGAAAUCUUCAUAACCCACCUAGGAUGCUAAUACUUGAUGCAUUUGUCCAACCAGGUCAAAAACAAAAUCAGGCAAAAAAGUGGUGACUUAGUUGUGAUUCCUAAUGGCAUGACUACUCAAUUGCAGCUACUCGACAUUUCAGUCCACAAACCAUUUAAGGAUAAUUUGAGAAAGGAAUAUGAAUCCUGGCUGAUGACUGACAGCCUUCCUCUGACACCUCCUAGAAAAAUUAAGAGAGCACCAGCAUUAAAACUGGCAGAAUGGGUAUCAGCAGUUUGGAAGUUAAUUCCAGAAAGAAUAGUGUUGGACUCAUUUAAAAAAUGUUGCAUCACAAAUGCUCUUGAUGGGUCAGAAGUAGUGUGUUAAAGUACUGAACUGCUGAACUUGCAGACCGAAAGGUCCCAGGUUCAAAUCCCGGGAGCGGAGUGAGCACCUGCUGUUGCUCCAGCUUCUGCCAACCUAGCAGUUCGAAAACAUGCCAAUGUGAGUAGAUCAACAGGUACUGCUCCAGCGGGAAGAUAAUGGCGCACCCUGCAGUCAUGCCAGCCACAUGACCUUGGAGGUGUCUAUGGACAACACCGGCUCUUCGGCUUAGAAAUGGAGAUGAGCACCAAUCCCCAGAGUCAGACAUGACUGGACUUAGCGUCAGGGGAAAACCUUUACCUUUACCUAUUGAUGUUAAAGACAGGCCAGAGGAAUCAGACUCUGAUACAAAUUCAGAAGCAAGAGAUGAAUAAAAUACCACACCUGCUUCAUUUGUGUACAUUGUUAUAUUUAAUGUGUUUCCCUAUUGUUCAUAAAUUUAAUUCUAUUGGAAUAAUAAAAAUAUUGUUAGAUAUACGGUA